rnacentral:lncRNA from 10 species
GCCGGAGCAAGGCAGCCAGGGGCCCAGUGCGAGGAGAGGAGAACGGACAGGAUGGGGGAGGCCCAUCACACCCAGCCUCACAGGCCGCGCUAAGAGCUUUGGCCUUUACUUUGUGUAAACUGGGACCUUGGAGAGCUUUGCGCAGGAGAGUGAUGGAACCAAACUAUUUAGCAGCCACAUUUCUUUUAAUGUUUCUCGUUUAUAGGUUACACAUUUGUUGUUAUUAUUAUUGAUUUAAUAAUACUGUGUCAAGAUAAAGUUGUCAAAAUCACGGCACCCAAACUUCACAUUAUAAAAUUUUAAUCACAACCUGUUUUAUCACAAUCGCUUUGCAGCAACGGAAAUUAUUCGUAGUAAUUAUUAAGUUGGUGCAAAAUUAUUUGUGGUUUUUGCCAUCACUUUUAAUGGCAAACGCCGCAAAUAAUUUUGCACCAACCUAAAUAUUAUAACUAAGGAAACGAAUAGAAUGGUGUGCAUCAGAGGUACCUCCGCCAGUGCUUACCCCGUUUGUUAUAGAGGGACGGGUUGUCCCUGCUGCUUUUUUAUGGAGCGCUAUAUCAAAAGGGCUGAGUAAAAUGAAGACAUUCCCCAGAGGACUGACUCACUAAGCAAUCAUAUGGGCAGUUUCUGGGAGGAAAGGAAGAAAAAAGCCAUACUUCACAACUCUUAGAAGCUGUUGCAAAGCAGACCACAUUCCUAAACUGAAGAUAUAAAUGUCAAGACAACUUACCCACAUAAACAAGGAGACGGAAAUGGAGGCAGCUUUGAUGGGACGAUGUCGCUGGUUCUUCCAACUUCUUCCAAAUGAUGUACUAGAAAUCACAUGGGGAACCAUUAGCAAUCACCAUUUCAAUUCUAUCCAAAGACAACUCAAGUACACCUGCCUUCAAUUUUACUGAGUAGUAAAAGAAUUUGAAAUUGAUGGUUUCAAGUUUCACCCAUGUCCAACCCUUGGAAUGCAAGGACUCUUUUGCUUAUCUGUGGUGGUGGAUACCACGAAAAUUAUGCACAGACCUUUUUUUUUUUUUUCUUAACUCAUCAGCUAUCGUGAGUGUUUGUGUGUUUCAUGUGUGGCCCAAGACAAUUCUUCUUUCAGUGUGGCCCAGGGAAGCGAAAGGUUGGACACCCAUCCUUUCCCCAGGGCUGAGUCACUCAUGUUCUCCACUUCUGGGAAUCAUUGUAAAAAGGCCUUACCAAGAUUUAUCAAAUGAAUAUUAAUUUUUACCUUUUACUCUCUUAUUUAAGGCCCCUGUCUAGCUGCUUAUGCUCAGAAAGGAUUGAGAAAAUGGAAACACCGAAUCAUGUCAAUAAGCCUUUUCCCAAAGACUGUUUUUGAAAGAAUGCUUUUUAGGCCAGGUGCGUGGCUCACACCUCUAAUCCCAGCACUUUGGGAGGCCAGGGCAGGCAGAUCACUUGAGGUCAGGAAGGAGUUCGAGACCAGCCUGGCCAACAUGGUGAAACCCCGUUGUACUGAAAAUACAAAAUACAAAAAUCGGUCAGGUGUGGUGGCGCUCACCCAUAAUCUCAGCUACUCUGGAGACUGUGGCCUGAGAAUCACUUGAACCCGGGAGGCGGAGGUUGCAGUGAGCCGAGAUCACGUCACUGCACUCCAGCCUGGGUGAUAAAGUGAGACCCUGUCUCAAAAAAAAGAAAAAAAGAAAAAGAAAGAAUGCUUUUUGUCUUAUGGGCUUGAAAUACAUUUUGUCAAAACUGGAGCCACAGAAAUAGUUUGUAUUAUUAUGCAAAAUGUUCCCAUAAAAACAAAUUGGUAGAGUCCUCAUUGUCAA